rnacentral:tRNA from 1 species
AAUAAGAUGCCUGACUAAAGGAUUAUCUUGAUAGGAUAAAUCAAGUAAUUUUACAUUACUCUUAUUA